rnacentral:rRNA from 1 species
UCAAAACUUAUUUCCAUAUCUCUCUCUAAUUCCUCCAUUUGACGGGUACCACAACCCGGUUCUUAGUUUGGAGUAUAGCAGGUCAUCUCUAGUGGUGGUUUCAGGUUUGUGAUCGUGAGAAGAUUUGGAGCAUCAGGGAGCUUCAAAGGUAAAUGUUUCUUUUAACCCUAAUUUUGUAAUUAGGGUUGUGCUUAAUGCAUGUUAAUCACUAAAUUUAAUUAAGUUUAGUUGCAAUUAAAGUAAAAUUAUCAAUCCUGUUUUCGCUGCAAAUCUUUGCUAUCCAUCAUCAUUUAAAUUUCUGUCCUAUCAACUUUCGAUGGUAAGAUACUGGCCAUUAUGGUGGUGAUGGGUGACAAACAAUUAGGGUUUGAUUUUAGAGAGAAAGCUGGAGAAACGCCUACCACAUCUAAGGAAGGCAACAGGUGCAAAAAUUGCUCAAUCCUAACACGGGGUUGUAAUGACAAUAAAUAACAAUACUAGGCUCUUUGAGUCUGGUAAUUAGAAUGAGUACAAUCUAAAUCCCAUAACAAUGAUCAAUUAGAAUGAAAAUCAAGUGUCAGCAGCGCGGUAAUUCUAGCUCCAAUAGCAUAUAUUUAAGUUGUUGUAGUUAAAAAGCUCAUAAUUGGACCUUGGGUUGGGUCGAUAUGUCCUUCUAUGAUGAGCACUAGCCAGCUCGUCCCUUUUGCCGGUAAUGCGAUCAUGGCCUUAGCUAGUCGGGUUGUGACUUUAGCAUUGUUACUUUGAAGAAAUUGAAGUGCUUAAAGCAAGCCUACACUCUAAUACGUUAGCAUUGGAUAACAUCAUAGAAUUUCAACCAUAUUCUGUUGGCUUUCGAGAUCAAAGUAAUCAUUAAUAGGGAUAGUCAGGGGUAUUUGUAUUUCAUAGUGAGAGGUGAAAUUCUUGAAUUUAUGAAAGACGAACAAGUGCCAAAGCAUUUGCCAAGGAUGUUUUCAUUGAUGAAGAAUGGAAGUUGGGGGCUUAAAGGUGAUCAACUACCAUCCCAGUCUCAACCAUAAAUGAUGUCGACUAGGGAUUUACGAUAUUGCUUUAAUGACUUCGCCAACACCUUAUCAAAAUCAAAAUCUUUGGGUUUCAAGGGGUGUAUGGUCACAAGGCUGAAACUUAAGGGGGUUGUUUGUCCCAUGGGUUUGGAAUUAGGGUGACUUGACAUUUGAAACCAAACCCAUGUUUGGACACUUGGAAUAAAAUUUCUGUGAUUAAACCCAUGGGUUUGUAAUAUGUUUUUUUUUUUAUUGGAUGUCAUAAGUUUUAGAAAAAAAUUAACUUCAACCUCUUAUCGAUGAUCAUUGAUGACUAUUGGCAACAAACAUUAGCCAACUUCAUGAUCAACCAUGAUGACCAAUCAUAAUCAAUUAACGGUCAUGAAGAUCGAUCAUCUUAACCAUUAACUUCAGAUCAUCUUGAUCAUCGUGUCUAGAUCGUUCUAACCUUUGAUUAUCGAUUAUCUUGAUUGUGAUGGUCAAUCAUCUAGAUCGUGGUGACCUUCAACUUUGGACCU